AGUGGGAUAGCUGGGUCAAAUCGUGGUUCCAUUCUAAGUUUUCUAAGGAAUCUCCAUACUGCUUUCCAGAAUGGUUCCACCAAUUUGCAGUCCCAGCAGCAAU
rnacentral:pre_miRNA from 1 species